GACGAACGCUGGCGGCGUGCUUAACACAUGCAAGUCGAACGGAAAGGCCCUGCUUUUGUGGGGUGCUCGAGUGGCGAACGGGUGAGUAAAACGUGAGUAACCUGCCCUUGACUUUGGGAUAACUUCAGGAAACAGGGGCUAAUACCGGAUAGGAGCUCCUGCUGCAUGGGGGGGGUUGGAAAGUUUCGGCGGUUGGGGAUGGACUCGCGGCUUAUGAGCUUGUUGGGGGGGUAGGGGCUUACCAAGCGUUUGACGGGUAGCCGGCCUGGGAGGUUGGCCAGCCUCAUGAGGCCUGAGGUAGGGACCAGUCGCGUACGGGAGGCAGAGGGGGGAAAUAUUACGCAAUGGGCGGAAGCCUGAGGCGGCAGCGCUGCGUGCGGGAAGACGGGCUUCGGGUUAUGAACCGCUUUCGCCGGAGACGAAGCGUGAGUGACGGUAAUGAGUAAAGAAGCACCGGCUAACUACGUG
rnacentral:rRNA from 1 species